UCCACAUACCAGUGAAAACGCCCCAACAUAGUACAAAUGGAGCAGGUAUCAGGCACUAAAACAUAAGCCCAAGACACCAAGCUUUGCCACACCCACACGGGCCCUCAGCAGUGAUAAACAUUAAGCAAUAAGCGAAUACACCCCCACAAAGCUUGACUUAGUUAUGAUUAAUAGGGCCGGUCAACCUCGUGCCAGCCACCGCGGUUAUACGAAGGGCCCAAAGCAGCAAUAUUCGGCGUAAAUCGUGGCUAGAAUAACACCAAUAAAUUAAAAAUUAAACCACAACCUAAUCGUAAAACAUAGGUUAAAUGAAACCAAACAUUUCUAAUAUAUGGUAAUUUGAUCCACGAAAACUAAGAAACAAACUAGGAUUAGAUACCCUACUAUGCUUAGUCGUCAAUACGACACUUCAUUACACAAGCUGUCCGCCAGAAAAUUACGAGCAAAAAGCUUAAAACUCAAAGGACUUGGCGGUUCUCCACACCAACUUAGAGGAGCCUGUCCUAUAAUCGAUACCCCACGCUAAACCUCACCAAUCUUAGCCAAAAUCAGCCUAUAUACCGCCGUCACCAAUCUACCUCGUGAGAGAAAAACAGUAAGUACAAAAGUUAAGUAACUAAAACGUCAGGUCAAGGUGUAGCUAACAGAAUGGAAGAGAUGGGCUACAUUUUUUAAAAUAAAACAAACGGCAUAGUAUUAUGAAACUAAUACCUAAAGGAGGAUUUAAUAGUAAAACUAACAAGAAAAUUAGUUUAAAACACG
rnacentral:rRNA from 1 species